AACCUAGCACACCUGCGGUGUGUACCUGCGGAAGGAUCAUUACAGAGUUACUACUCCAAACCCAUUGUGAACCUUACCUAUGUUCUGUUGCCUCGGCGGCGUGGUCAGCGCCCCUCUGAAAAGAGGACGAUGCCCUCCCGCCGGCAGCACCAAACUCUUGAAUUUUACAGCGGAUUACAGUUCUGAUUUGAAAACAAAAAACAAGUUAAAACUUUCAACAACGGAUCUCAGAUCGGAAGA
rnacentral:misc_RNA from 1 species